rnacentral:rRNA from 1 species
GACGAACGCUGGCGGCGUGCUUAACACAUGCAAGUCGAACGGAGUGCUCAUGACAGAGGUUUUGGCCAAUGGAUUGAGUUACUUAGUGGCGGACUGGUGAGUAACGCGUGAGGAACCUGCCUCAAAGAGGGGGACAACAGUUGGAAACGACUGCUAAUACCGCAUAAGCCCACAGCUCGGCAUCGAGCAGAGGGAAAAGGAGUGAUCCGCUUUGAGAUGGCCUCGCGUCCGAUUAGCUGGUUGGUGAGGUAACGGCCCACCAAGGCGACGAUCGGUAGCCGGACUGAGAGGUUGAACGGCCACAUUGGGACUGAGACACGGCCCAGG